AGAGUUUGAUCCUGGCUCAGAGCGAACGCUGGCGGCAGGCUUAACACAUGCAAGUCGAGCGGGCGUAGCAAUACGUCAGCGGCAGACGGGUGAGUAACGCGUGGGAACAUACCUUUUGGUUCGGAACAACACAGGGAAACUUGUGCUAAUACCGGAUAAGCCCUUACGGGGAAAGAUUUAUCGCCGAAAGAUUGGCCCGCGUCUGAUUAGCUAGUUGGUGAGGUAACGGCUCACCAAGGCGACGAUCAGUAGCUGGUCUGAGAGGAUGAUCAGCCACAUUGGGACUGAGACACGGCCCAAACUCCUACGGGAGGCAGCAGUGGGGAAUAUUGGACAAUGGGCGCAAGCCUGAUCCAGCCAUGCCGCGUGAGUGAUGAAGGCCCUAGGGUUGUAAAGCUCUUUUGUGCGGGAAGAUAAUGACGGUACCGCAAGAAUAAGCCCCGGCUAACUUCGUGCCAGCAGCCGCGGUAAUACGAAGGGGGCUAGCGUUGCUCGGAAUCACUGGGCGUAAAGGGUGCGUAGGCGGGUCUUUAAGUCAGGGGUGAAAUCCUGGAGCUCAACUCCAGAACUGCCUUUGAUACUGAGGAUCUUGAGUUCGGGAGAGGUGAGUGGAACUGCGAGUGUAGAGGUGAAAUUCGUAGAUAUUCGCAAGAACACCAGUGGCGAAGGCGGCUCACUGGCCCGAUACUGACGCUGAGGCACGAAAGCGUGGGGAGCAAACAGGAUUAGAUACCCCAGUAGUCC
rnacentral:rRNA from 1 species